rnacentral:rRNA from 1 species
AGAGUUUGAUCAUGGCUCAGAUUGAACGCUGGCGGCAUGGCUAAAACAUGCAAGUCGAACGAGAACCCGCAAGGGUGAAAGUGGCGGAAGGGUCAGUAAUAGUAUCGAAUGUGCCCCGAGGUGGGGGAUAGGCAUGGGAAACUGUGCGUAAUACCUCAUGAUCUCUACGGAGCAAAGAUUUAUCGCCUUGGGAGCAGCGAUACACCUAUCAGGUAGUUGGCGGGGUAAAGGCCCACCAAGCCGAAGACGGGUAGCGGGUGUGAGAGCACGGCCCGCGACAUCGGGACUGAGACACUGCCCGGACUCCUACGGGAGGCUGCAGUAACGAAUAUUCCGCAAUGGGCGCAAGCCUGACGGAGCAAUGCCGCGUGUGGGAUGAAGCGGCUUCGCCGUGUAAACCACUGUCAGGGGCUCGAAAUACUGAUCGGCCCCAGAGGAAGGGACGGCUAACCCUGUGCCAGCAGCCGCGGUAAUUC